UGGGGAAUUUUGCACAAUGGGGGAAACCCUGAUGCAGCGACGCCGCGUGAUUUAGAAGGCCUUCGGGUUGUAAAAAUCUUUUGUAUGGGAAGAAAAUGACAGUACCAUACGAAUAAGGACUGGCUAAUUACGUGCCAGCAGCCGCGGUAAUACGUAAGGUCCGAGCGUUGUCCGGAAUCAUUGGGCGUAAAGGGUACGUAGGCGGAUAAGCAAGUUAGAAGUGAAAUCCUAUAGCUCAACUAUAGUAAGCUUUUAAAACUGCUCAUCUUGAGGUAUGGAAGGGAAAGUGGAAUUCCUAGUGUAGCGGUGAAAUGCGCAGAUAUUAGGAGGAAUACCGGUGGCGAAGGCGACUUUCUGGCCAUAUACUGACGCUGAGGUACGAAAGCGUGGGUAGCAAACAGG
rnacentral:rRNA from 1 species